UCGAACUUUCGAGCGGGUGGAAUUCCACCCGCUUGAGUUCAUGUUUCGGGCACCCCGCUGGACUUCCCUCCGCAGCUCCUCCUCCCUUCUUCUCACCAUCGCACCAGAACUCACUCCCAUUGUUUCCGCUGCGCCUUCACCUCACUCGCACUGUCGCCUCCCCGCUGCGCCGUCGCCUCUCUGCUCUUCCGUCGGUAUGCCUUUCCUUUCUCCCUUUCUCUCUUUUGCCCUAAGAUGUUCCUCUGUAUGGCAGGGAAGACAUAAACAGAGACAGGGCAGCAUUUGGGCCUUCUUCUGUAUGGCAGGGAAGACAUACGCAGAGACUCUGCUAUCGAGGACCUAUUUCUAAUGUGCACAUGCAUCGCUUAUUCAGUCUACCCCUUCAAUAUAUAUUUGCUCUGCAGGACAGAAAAUCCUGUUGCUCAGCAGAACCCAUCAGAUCGUGAAGGAAAUCAAGGGCAUUGUGAUGGUUUCACUGAGACCCAGAUAGAAUCUCAGGUUGUUGAGUAUGAAGAAGAUCUAGCAGGAAGGCAGAUGAUAAUAGAAAGAGUGAGGACAAGAUCUAUGGCUUCAUCUUCUGCACGGGAAAGGCCUUCGGGUGAACAGAUAGAUGACAAUCUUGGACGUCUUCUUCGAGUUGCUAAUGAGAACAAAUAGUUUAUUCUUUCAAUCUUAUGUGGACUGUGUAGGUGUGUACAUAAUCAUAUUGCUAGCUAACUAAUUUGAAUUUGUUUCCACCAUCUGGGUCUCCUACAUGAUCCUCAGAUUGGGAUGGUUAGCUUUCUGUAAAUUACAAUUUUGGCAUGUGGUUACUGAAACAGUUUGAGAAACAAGCGAAGCUUGUUACAUCUGUAAGACACACUAGA